GCUUGUCUCAAAGAUUAAGCCAUGCAUGUCUAAGUAUAAACAACUUUGUACUGUGAAACUGCGAAUGGCUCAUUAUAUCAGUUAUAGUCUACUCGAUAGUACCUUACUACUUGGAUAACCGUAGUAAUUCUAGAGCUAAUACAUGCGUAAAUACCCAACUGCUUGUCGGACGGGUAGCAUUUAUUAGAUUGAAACCAAUGCAGCUUCGGCUGGUAUUGUGUUGAGUCAUAAUAACCAAGCGAAUCGUCGGUUUACCGACGAUAGAUCGUUCAAGUUUCUGACCUAUCAGCUUUGACGGUAGGGUAUUGGCCUACCGUGGCAAUGACGGGUAACGGAGAAUUAGGGUUCGAUUCCGGAGAGGGAGCCUGAGAAACGGCUACCACAUCUAAGGAAGGCAGCAGG
rnacentral:rRNA from 1 species